rnacentral:ncRNA from 2 species
AAUCAACACUAGGGGUGUUCGAAAGAGCUGAGAUGCAUCAAGCAGUGCAAUCCCUUUGAACCUGUAAGUUCAGACUUGCGCAGGAAAGUGUUAAUGGUCGCAA